rnacentral:rRNA from 1 species
GCAAGUCGAGCGCGCCCUUCGGGGUGAGCGGCGGACGGGUGAGUAACGCGUGGGAACGUGCCCUUUGCUGCGGAAUAGCCACUGGAAACGGUGAGUAAUACCGCAUGAGCCCUUCGGGGGAAAGAUUUAUCGGCAAAGGAUCGGCCCGCGUUGGAUUAGGUAGUUGGUGGGGUAAUGGCCUACCAAGCCGACGAUCCAUAGCUGGUUUUAGAGGAUGAUCAGCCACACUGGGACUGAGACACGGCCCAGACUCCUACGGGAGGCAGCAGUGGGGAAUCUUAGACAAUGGGCGCAAGCCUGAUCUAGCCAUGCCGCGUGAGUGACGAAGGCCCUAGGGUCGUAAAGCUCUUUCGCCUGCGAAGAUAAUGACGGUAGCAGGUAAAGAAACCCCGGCUAACUCCGUGCCAGCAGCCGCGGUAAUACGGAGGGGGUUAGCGUUGUUCGGAAUUACUGGGCGUAAAGCGCGCGUAGGCGGACCAUCAAGUUGGGGGUGAAAUCCCGGGGCUCAACCCCGGAACUGCCUCCAAAACUGGCGGUCUGGAGUUCGAGAGAGGUGAGUGGAAUUCCGAGUGUAGAGGUGAAAUUCGUAGAUAUUCGGAGGAACACCAGUGGCGAAGGCGGCUCACUGGCUCGAUACUGACGCUGAGGUGCGAAAGUGUGGGGAGCAAACAGGAUUAGAUACCCUGGUAGUCCACACCGUAAACGAUGAAUGCCAGUCGUCGGCAAGCAUGCUUGUCGGUGACACACCUAACGGAUUAAGCAUUCCGCCUGGGGAGUACGGCCGCAAGGUUACAACUCAAAGGAAUUGACGGAA